UACAGAGGUCUCAAGCGUUGUUCGGAUUCAUUGGGCGUAAAGGGUGCGUAGGCGGCGCGGUAAGUCGGGUGUGAAAUCUCGGGGCUUAACUCCGAAACUGCAUUCGAUACUGCCGUGCUUGAGGACUGGAGAGGAGACUGGAAUUUACGGUGUAGCGGUGAAAUGCGUAGAUAUCAGGAGGAACACCUGUGGUGUAGACGGCUCUCUGGACCGCAACUGACGCUGAGACACGAAAGCGUGGGUAGCAAACAGG
rnacentral:rRNA from 1 species